UCUUCCGUAGUACAGUGGUCAGUAUGUGAGUUUGUCACUUCCUCGGGAAGCGAUUUGCUCGAGACCCGGUUUCAAAACCAAGCGGGAGAG